GGGCCCUGCUCAAAUAAGCUUACAAUCUAUAGGUUGUGUCACUUUACCCCACUCCCUCUAGUAUGUAAGCUCAUUGAGCAGGGCCC